AUAGGGAGUGGCACGAUUAGGAGGUAUGGCUCUGUUGGUGUGUGUAUGGCCUUGUUGGAGGAAAUGUGUCUUUGUGGGAGUGGACUUUGAGGGUUCCUAUGCUCAGGAUACUGCUCAGUGAGUCAUUUUAACUUCCUGUUGCCUCUGAGUCAAGAUGCAGGACUCUCAGCUCCAGCACCAUGUCUACCCUAUAUGCCACCAUGCUCCCUGCCAUGAUGACAAUGGACUAAAUCCCUGAAACUGUAAGCAAGUGCCUCAGAUUUGUGCUGCCUUGCAAACAAGUGACAUUAAUCUGCCUUCAACAUAAAUGUGAAAACCUGGAGAACUGCACCUUACGAGGCCCCAUGAAGUGUUUGUAUCAGCUUCCAAGCUGGGUGAGAGUUUAAUCCCUGUGCCGUGUGUCUUUGCCCGUACGACUUCCUGUUCCACAGAGCAAGAGACUGGCAUCUUCCCUUUUAUACACUGCUGGGUUUUGAAAAUUGGAAGCACAUUGUUCAAUUAAGAACCAAUUAAUGUGACGCUCCAGCAUGAAAGAAGUGUUAGGCAAGAGGAACCCGCUGCAAACUAAUCAGUCUAAGUUUCAUUGACUCAUGAUCCACUGCUUCUUAAAGGCUUGAAAAUGUGCUUCAUCUCUGUCACCUCCAGCUCUUGUAACUUGACUGAGUUCCCAAACUAGGGAGAGUCAAGUUGAGUCAAGAUCACAUGGCGACCUUCCCAAGGGAGCCCAAUUUCUGCAAAAUAUGUACACACCAUGGGUGUGCCCUUUCUCUCCCUUCAGUCCUGAGUUAUUGCUUUGUAGCUGAAUGUUCUGAUUACCAUGUGACUCAAACGAUAAAUAGCAACCAGAAACUCAGAAGGCAUGCCAUGCAAUGGCAUUCUUUUAAGCACAGUUUGUGCCCAUGAGCUUCAGAUUCCUCGUCUCUUAAAUGGAAGCAACAGGGUCUAUUCAAUCAAAUCUGCCAGGAAGGACUAGAACAAGCCCUGUUUUAAUACAUGCCAGCCUCAGCAAUUAGUCCAUCAACUUAAAUUCUUCUUGCAGUUUCAAUUAGAUUGAGCACCCUUCCCUGGUUUCCACUCAGGCUGUUGUACAGUGUUUCUGCAAGGCGAACAGCUGUCUGAUGCCACCCCAGAGAGAGCUAUGUUUCAGCUACUCCUGUAUUCCUAGUUCAUAAAGCACUCAAAGAUCCAGUGGGUGAAAGGUGCUCAUUAGCACCACAAGAUGAUGUGUGUUAGUCGUAAAUAAGCAAUGGGAAAAGGCAGGCAGUGAUCACACACUUGCUAACAAGUCACUCAACACCCUAGCUGGAUCCCUGUCUAAGAUAUGGUUGAAAAGCAAAGACCAUCAAAUGGCAAACUUCAUAGGGGAUAUUUACUGUUGCUUUGAGAAGCAGAGUGGGGUGGGGGAAUUCACAAUCUUGUCAGCAUCACCUCCCACUCCAAAAUGAACAUUCUAAGGGAUUCUCUAUAUAGUCUGUCCUUGGAUGGGUUUAGUAGAUUAUUACUUUUGUAACACCAUUUAAGGACAUUCCAAAUGAUAUUCUCAGAGAAAGGCUUUGUCAAAAUUCUACGAAGUCCCAGUCCAUAUUGGCUUAUCUUUCCCUUCAUCUCCACCUCCACCUCUCAUUCUGCUCCACCCAUUCUUAUCUCCCUCUACUUAGGAGUGUCUUUAAAUAUGGCCUCCAGCAAUUCUCCAAAUCAUUUGUUUCCCUGUUUCUUGUUGUUCAUUUGUAACCCUGCCCUUCCAUUCCCUUUUCUAUCCUGCUCUGGGCUGGAGAAUUUGACCUGAUGCCUAGACUAGACUUCCUAGGCAGCAGCAUUAGCAAGAUAUGACAUUCCUUCCCAGCACUCUCUCUACUUUGUAACAAAGCUUCAGCCACAGCUUUACCCCUAAGUGACUUGGUCCCUGCUGUCUGCUCCUAGCCAGAACUCCAGCUCU
rnacentral:lncRNA from 1 species